CUGAGACACGGUCCAGACUCCUACGGGAGGCAGCAGUGGGGAAUAUUGCCACAAUUGGGCGCCAAGCCUGAUGCAGCCAUUGCCGCGUGUAUGAAGAAGCCCUUCCGGUUGUAAAGUACUUUCAGCGGGGAGGAAGGGAGUAAAGGUUAAUACAUUUGCUUCCAUUGACGUAACCCGCCAGAAGAAGCACCGGCUAACUCCCGUGCCAGCAGCCGCGGUAAUACGGAGGGGUGCAAGCGUUAAUCCGAAUUACUGGGCGGUAAAGCGCCACGCAGGCGGUUUGUUAAGUCAGAUGUGAAAUCCCCGGGCUCAACCUGGGAACUGCAUCUGAUACUGGCAAGCUUGAGUCUCGUAGAGGGGGGGUAGAAUUCCAGGUGUAGCGGUGAAAUGCGUAGAGAUCUGGAGGAAUACCGGUGGCGAAGGCGGCCCCCUGGACGAAGACUGACGCUCAGGUGCGAAAGCGUGGGGAGCAAACAGGAUUAGAUACCCUGGUAGUCCACGCCGUAAACGAUGUCGACUUGGAGGUUGUGCCCUUGAGGCGUGGCUUCCGGAGCUAACGCGUUAAGUCGACCGCCUGGGGAGUACGGCCGCAAGGUUAAAACUCAAAUGAAUUGACGGGGGCCCGCACAAGCGGUGGAGCAUGUGGUUUAAUUCGAUGCAACGCGAAGAACCUUACCUGGUUCUUGACAUCCACGGAAGUUUUCAGAGAUGAGAAUGUUGCCUUCGGGAACCGUGAGACAGUUGUGCUUGCAUGGCUGUUCCGUCAGCUUCGUGUUGUGAAAUGUUGGGUUAAGUCCCGCAACGAGCGCAACCCUUAUCCUUUGUUGCAAGCCGUUCCGGCCGGGAACCUCAAAGGAGACUGCCAGUAAUAAACUGGAGGAAGGUGGGGAUAGACGUCAAGUUCCAUCAUGGGUACCCUUACGCACCAGGGCUACACACGUGCUACAAUGGCGCAUACAAAGAGAAGCGACCUCGCGAGAGCAAGCGGACCUCAUAAAGUGCGUCGUAGUCCGGAUUGGAGUCUGCAACUCGACUCCAUGAAGUCGGAAUCGCUAGUAAUCGUGGAUCAGAAUGCCACGGUGAAUACGUUCCCGGGCCUUGUACACACCGCCCGUCACACCAUGGGAGUGGGUUGCAAAAGAAGUAGGUAGCUUAACCUUCGGGAGGGCGCUUACCACUUUGUGAUUCAUGACUGGGGUGAAGUCGUAACAAGGUAGCCGU
rnacentral:rRNA from 1 species